GAUGAACGCUGGCGGCGUGCCUAAUACAUGCAAGUCGAGCGAACAGACGAGGAGCUUGCUCCUCUGACGUUAGCGGCGGACGGGUGAGUAACACGUGGAUAACCUACCUAUAAGACUGGGAUAACUUCGGGAAACCGGAGCUAAUACCGGAUAAUAUAUUGAACCGCAUGGUUCAAUAGUGAAAGUCGGUUUUUCUGUCACUUAUAGAUGGAUCCGCGCCGCAUUAGCUAGUUGGUAAGGAAACGGCUUACCAAGGCAACGAUGCGUAGCCGACCUGAGAGGGUGGUCGGCCACACUGGAACUGAGACAGGGUCCAGACUCCUACGGGAGGAAGCAGUAGGGAAUCUUCCGCAAUGGGCGAGAGCUUGACGGAGCAACGCCGCGUGAGUGAUGAAGGUCUUCGGAUCGUAAAACUCUGUUAUUAGGGAAGAACAAAUGUGUAAGUAACUAUGCACGUCUUGACGGUACCUAGUCAGAAAGCCACGGCUAACUACGUG
rnacentral:rRNA from 1 species